UGUAAAAGGGAAGGCGGGAAGUUCACUUCCUGCAAAGGCGGCGGCCCCUCCAACCCAAAAGCCCACCUCCCCUCUUUCAAUCCUCAUACGCGUAUAAUCCCCUGCUCUUCUCGCCUCUCCAGCUCCGACGUCUGGGCCCAAUAGCGUAAAUUGUCCAGGGUUAGGUUAGAGGGCUCAACUAUACGGUACAUAAUUAGGGUUCCUGAUCGAUGCUCGCCCGAUGGGGAACAAGGCCACGGACGAGCAGAUCGCCGUCGUCCGCUCCGUGGUUGGCCGGGAUUUCUCGGACAUUGACAUAAUCCGCGCCCUUCACAUGGCCAACAACGAUGUCGCUGCGGCCAUCAACAUCAUCUUCGACACCCCGCACAUCCGCCUCACCGGCGAACCCACCGCCUCCGCUACCACUACCGCCGCCGCCGCCCGAAAGAAAAGCCUCACUCCCCCCGUGGCUCCAGAUCGCAAAGGGCUCGUUCGGAGCACCAACAUGGAUCUGGCUGUGGACCGGAAUCCCGACAAUGGCGCGGUGCGGCCAUCCGGACCUGCUACCUCCAGGGCAUCGGACAGCGACUGGUGGCUCGUCGGAAGCUCCGAGCUUGCUGGGCUGUCCACCUGCAAGGGGAGGCGGCUCAAGGCUGGCGACAGGGUCACCUUCUCCUUCCCUUCCGCAAAUACCUCGACUUCUUCUUCUUCAACCGCAAGAUUUCCUGGCCGAGGGCGGUCCCCGGCUUCUUGUUCUGAGAUCGUGCGGUUCUCCACUCACGAACACGGAGAGAUUGGUCGCAUCCCAAACGAGUGGGCUCGUUGCCUUUUGCCUCUUGUGAGGGCGAAUAAGAUCAGGAUCGAAGGUAGCUGUAAGUCUGCUCCAGAUGCCCUUGGCAUCAUGGACACUAUUCUCUUGUCAGUCAGUGUAUACAUCAACAGUUCGAUGUUCCGCAAGCACCAUCAGACAUCAGUGAAGCCUAGUCGUCCUGCCUCCGAGGAGUCUACAGUUCAUGCACUUCCAAACCUGUUUAGAUUGCUCGGGCUUACUCCUUUCAAGAAGGCUGAGAUCACUCCAGAGGACCUUUACGCUAGGAAACGGCCCAUGGCCUCCAAGGACAGCUCUGGAGUGCUUUCAGCAGUGUUACCUUCAGAAAAAUGUAGAAAAGUAUCUAGCAGUGGAAGUAAAAUAGAAAAUGAUCAGGAGAUUAUUUCAGAUCCUGAUUUGGAUAAUAUUGUCGGAAUCUCAGACAGCUCCCUGUUAGAGGAAAUGGUGCCACCAGAAACUCUGCAAUGCGAGCUACGUCCUUACCAAAAACAGGCUCUCCACUGGAUGGUGCAGAUUGAGAAAGGAAGAUGCUUUGAGGAGGCAGCAACAACUCUUCACCCAUGUUGGGAUGCGUACCGCCUUGUGGAUAAGAGAGGACUUGUUGUUUACUUGAAUGCAUUUUCGGGUGAUGCUACUAUUGAAUUUCCUAGCACCCUCAAAAUUGCGAGAGGAGGGAUGCUGGCAGAUGCAAUGGGACUAGGAAAGACAAUUAUGACAAUAGCUCUUCUUCUUGCCCAUCCUAAUAAAGGGUGCUCACCCACUUCUCCCGCAAGUCAGGCCUCUCAUGAAGCUAAUGAAAUGAGCCACAUGUCUGAUCAAUCUCCAAAUGAUUCGAAGAAACUAACAGGCAUUUCUGGCUUCAGCAAGCUGUUGAAACAUAAGGCCACACUUGUAGGUGGCGGUAGUCUAAUUGUUUGUCCUAUGACAUUGCUUGGCCAAUGGAAGGCUGAGAUUGAAGCGCAUGUUCAGCCAGCUGCUCUCACUGUUUAUGUUCACUAUGGACAAAGCAGGCCGAAGGAUGCAAAAUAUCUAGCACAGAGUGAUGUUGUCCUGACCACCUAUGGUGUGUUAGCAUCAGAAUUUUCUGCUGAGAAUGCUGAAGAUAAUGGUGGGCUUUACUCUGUCCAGUGGUUCAGGAUUGUGCUUGAUGAAGCACAUACUAUAAAAUCAUCUAAAAGCCAAAUUUCAAUGGCCGCUGCUGCUCUCACUGCUGAUCGGCGGUGGUGUCUCACAGGCACACCUAUUCAGAACAACCUGGAGGAUAUAUACAGUCUUCUUCGGUUUUUGAAAGUAGAGCCUUGGGGAAACUGGGGGCUGUGGCAUAAACUCAUACAAAGGCCAUACGAGGAAGGUGAUGAACGUGGAUUAAAGCUGGUGCAGUCCAUCUUAAAGCCAAUAAUGUUAAGGAGAACGAAGUCCAGCACAGAUAGAGAUGGCAGGCCAAUCCUUGUUCUUCCUCCGGCAAAUGUUGAAGUACUUUAUUGCGAGAUGUCAGCAGCCGAGAAGGACUUCUAUGAGGCUCUGUUUAGAAGAUCAAAGGUAAAGUUUGAUCAGUUUGUUGAGCAAGGGCGUGUUCUUCACAAUUAUGCUUCAAUAUUGGAGCUGCUUUUACGCCUUCGUCAAUGUUGUGAUCAUCCAUUCCUUGUAAUGAGUCGAGGUGAUACGCAAGAAUACUCCAAUCUCAACAAACUUGCAAAGCGGUUCCUUAAAGGUGGUAAGGAUGCUGAUAGCAGAGAUUCUGGUGCUGUCCCUUCAAGGGCAUACAUUAAAGAGGUAGUGGAAGAGUUGCGUAAAGGCGAAGAAGGAGAGUGUCCAAUUUGCCUAGAAGCUUUUGAAGAUGCAGUACUAACACCAUGUGCUCACCGUUUAUGCCGAGAAUGCCUCUUGGCUAGCUGGCGGAGCACCACGAGUGGUCUAUGUCCUGUUUGUAGGAAGUCCAUGAAUAGGCAGGAUCUUAUAACUGCUCCAACUGAUAAUCGAUUCCAAAUAGAUAUUGAGAAGAAUUGGGUAGAAUCCUCCAAAGUUUCAGUUCUUCUUCGGGAACUGGAAAACCUUCGCAGUCUUGGUGCCAAAAGCAUUGUUUUUAGCCAGUGGACUGCUUUUUUGGAUCUUCUCCAGAUCCCUCUUUCUCGAUGUAAUCUCACAUUUGUUCGAUUGGAUGGGACCUUAAAUCAGCAGCAACGGGAAAAAGUAAUAAACAACUUUUCAGAGGAUGAGAACAUAUUGGUAUUACUUAUGUCAUUAAAGGCUGGUGGUGUUGGAAUAAACCUUACUGCAGCAUCUAAUGCCUUUCUCAUGGAUCCCUGGUGGAACCCAGCUGUUGAGGAACAGGCUGUGAUGCGCAUUCAUCGUAUUGGUCAAACUAAGAAUGUAUUUAUCAAAAGAUUCAUUGUAAAGAGGCAAUUGCUCUAAUAUGCUAUCUUGCUAUUGCAAAUUGGAAUGCAUCUAUUCUGCCACUCAGCUGGGAACAGUGGAGGAAAGAAUGGAAGCUGUGCAGGCACGAAAACAAAGGCUGAUCUCUGGGGCCCUAACCGAUCAGGAAGUUCGCACUGCACGCAUAGAAGAACUGAAAAUGCUCUUCACUUAGAAGUUCAGAAGGAGAUAUUACCAUCCUUCAGCAUCUGAACAUAUUGUAGAUGCUGAGCUGUUGUUUCUUUGAUGGGUUCAUAACUGCAGUACUGGUAUACAGCGAUUGGUCAUCAGGCAAGCUUGUGUGCAAGCUUUGUUGAUAGAUAGAUAUUGAUGGGUGGUGGAGGCUAAUGUGCGGGCUCCAUAGCAUCAGCAUCCUGAUUUUCUCAAUCAGUUUAGUUGUUAGUGCUGUAUGUGUUGCCUCCAGUCUUCUGCUUCCGGAUUCCGCCAUUGCCAACAUGCAUGGGCAAAGCACUGUGGCAGCCAUUUGGUUUUGUAAAAAGCGCGAAAUAUCUGUGAAAGCUUUAGGCAAGUUUUGUAUUAUGAAAUGCUUUUCCAAACACUUACAGGCAGGUUCCAGAGCCCCUGUAAACAUGAAUGACAUCAAUGGGGACAAUUGGGUUGCAACUCCCUUGUUGCCAAUUUACAUGAACCGAGUAAUUUGAUAGAAAUGGAAGUGGGCCAAUACAAUAUCCUUUUAGUUGCUGA